CAACUGUUUUCGACGUUGUAAUUUAUGGACUGUGGAAUGAAGAUUCAACCUUGAGCAUUGGAUGUGCUUAGUGGGAUCGAGGAUUUUAUAUCUUAAUUCUUUGUUAAUGGGCUUCCUCCUCGAAGAUAAACAGUAAGCUACGCGUCAACCCUCGUUUGUCUCCCUUUUGUUUCUUAGAAAUAAAACGAUCACAUUGGCGAAAAGCUACUCUAUAACGAGAAGAUAAAUAUUUUCAAAUUCUUUAAUUAAAUAUAAUGAUAAAAUAAUGUACGGGAUAUACUGAAUUUGACAUAUAUUAACACAGCGUGCGAAAACGCGGACGAGUUAAACGAGACUCGUCCCUUUAUUUUAUUAAAGAAGAGUGAAACCAUUAUGUUAUAGCAAAGCAGCACACAAAAUUUGAAAAAAAUUGCAACAAUUCCACGAAGAAUUCUUAUGAAAAGUUAGAAAAACGAGUGCAGCUUAAACGUAUCCACGGAAGAAUAGGGAUAUCGAGGGAAAAACGAGGAGCAGCCCGAGGGAGGCCCAUAACCAAGAGAGAAAAGAUCCAGCAACGGGAUAGACGGUUUUAAUUCGGUGGAAAGCUAAUAAUUCCGGUAUUGUGCGAUCCUUGCCAACGUUAUUGUUUCCCUGCGGGGCCUCGUACUCGCGCAGAGGACUCUUCUCGUAUCCUGCUUCCAUCGUUCUUUUCAAUCGAGCCGAACAAUGAGAAGAAGAGCCAGUUCUCUUCCUUUUUCUCCUCCGUAUAUAUAUAUAUACGGAUAUAUAUAUAUAUAUAUUGUAGCUUAAUUAUUGGUUUUAUUAUGAUUUUGUCCUUCUCGCCGAGAGCUUGCUCUCGCGGUCAUCAUCCCACUGGCAAAGGAAAAAGAAGAAAAGUCGAGAAGGCAGAAAAGGAGAGACGGUGAACAACAAAAGGAAGAAAAGAAAUAGAGACGAGAGAAAGAAGGUGCAGUCUCGAUGACAAUACGCUUCGUUCUCCCUCUGCCUCUGACGCUUAUUAGAACGAAGAUGAGAAAGGACUUGGAGCGAGCAAGCAGCUUCAUUAUUAAUUUCGAGGGGCUUGACAACGACCAUCGACACUCUGGCUUUGCUCCGCCAAGGUCACGCGUGCCGAUUAACCCUCUCGUGGCAGUAUUUUAAAAAAGGCAAGGAGGGUGGCAUAUGAAUAGGGUACCGAAGUCGUUGCACGAGUCUCGAUCGUUCGAUGCCUGUCAUUUAUUAUUUCAUUGUGCCUCGACUCGUUAAGCCGGCAACAUAAACUCCGAUUGUUUUCGGGUAAUCGAGUGUUCAUCGCGUGCAGGAUGCACAUGAAUGAAAACAAGCAUUGAUAAUGUUUUUAGAAUAAAUAAUAGUUCUUUGUUUGGAAGACAUUUAAAAUGAAGAUUUAAACCAAAUUGGAAUGGAGCGAAGCAUUGGAAUCACGAAUGCAAUAACCAUUUUGUGGAAUUUCUUGCAGAUAUGAAAAUUAAUCUGUAAUAUUGAAUUUUCCAUUCGUUACGACUCUAACGUCUACUAUUUUAACAAAUUCAAGAAAACUUCACCGAUAGAUCAGAGAUACGAAUAUCUCAUAAUUUCUAAUUAUUUCCGAUAUUACUAAUUUUCUGGCGUAAAUGUCCAUUCGCUCUAUUUUCAUCUUGCCACCUUGUAACGAGUUAAGAUGCCGGAAAUCGACGCAUUCUCGUCGCGAUAAAUCAAAGUAGUAACAAGGUAGCAGCGACGGAGCAAUUCCGACAUUUACACAACCAUGCCAAGCCAGAAAAUUGUCCACCUUUGUAAAAUUACACGGUCCUGGUUAGUUCCUGACCGAUUUCGAUCCGCGAGCGCGCACGUGAACCCGGGGGUUGAAGGUAUCCCCCGAGAUAUUCAUCGAAAGAAAUGAAUUCGCACGAAAGCCGCGCUCGAGCUCGGCCGUAAUCGCGUGAUUGUAACAUCGUGAAGCGCGGUAAUUACGGUGCCGGCGCGAGCUACGACCGAUUUUCUCGGAAGCGAUUCGAAAAAGGCGAAACGUCAGCUGACCAUAUUGUAGUUUACGCGAAAGAAGGGUACGAGGUAAAUGGUAGGACCCGAAACGCAGGCGAAACGCAGGCGGACAGAAGGUUUCGAGCGAGGAGGACGAACGUGUUGGUCGAGUUCGGGGACACCAGAAGGGGAGGAAGAUGGUGAAGGAGGAGGCCGAAGCCAGGGAGGACAUAGCAUGUCCCCCGUAAUUAUAGCAACAAUAAAACAAUUUUGAUAAUUAUCUCAACUAGUGUAUGGGAACACACGACAUUACAGCGGGCACGGGUAUAGAAACGGAAAGAGAGACGUACGGCGGAGAAAGAGAGCGGGGUAGAGGCGGAGAGGAGAGGAGAGGAGAGGAGAGGAGAGGAGAGGAGAGAGAGGACACAACGACCGGGGCAGAAUAAUGACAAUAAUUACCAUUUAUAUGCAAGUGCCGUCAUUACCUGCACACGAGCAGAGCACGCAUUCAAUUUCGUAUCUAAUUUGAAUAAUUCAAACAAAUCUCUCCUUCCUGCCCUCCUUCCUCUGCACGCUUUAUAAUCCCAAUAAACGCGACGAGACAUCGACAGUGAUUCGCUUUUUCAGUGCUUACGAAGACUCCUUCUCUACGUUUACCUCGAUUCCCUUCUGCGCUGCCCAAUUGCACCGGUAACAAUCGUUCGCUAUCUUUUUUAUUAAGCUAACGAGAGGCAUCGUCAAUUUUCCUUUUGUUUCCUUUUUCUCUUUGGAUAAUCGCGUGCGACGUUUGUUACGCUGCGAUUCCACCGGUAAACAACGGAAGAAUUAUUAUGUACCGUUUCUGCGAUAAUUAGUCGAUACGUAUUCGUGAGAUAGAAAUCCGGAAAUCCAAUAGCAACUAACGAUCACUCGUGGAUUACGAAUGUAACGAUUUACGAUAAAAAUGUAUUACACGUGUUCCUAGUGUUGUAAGCAGCUUUGAAACGUGCAUCGAUAAUAUCGCUGAUCGCUUCAAAUGGGACGUCAAGUACUAAAACAGUGCCGACCUAUCGCUUUAAAUUCAAUGGUGUGACAUAAAAAUAAUUUCCUCCUCGAUUGGAUGAGAUCGACGCGAACGAGACGCGAAAGGAAAGCGAAUUAAAUAAAUAAGUAGGUCGUAAAUUCUCGGAAGCGUUAUGCAUCCGAGGCACCGGCAGAUUUCGCUAAAUCAAGCGCAAUUACCGAUCCGUCGUCUCGUCUGAACCUGCAAUUCCCCCAUUGCCCUUACCUUCGCAACGAUUCCAGUUCCUACCCUGGAAUCACUCAAUCCCCGUUUACCUCUCCCGUUCGCGCAAUGUUUGCGCGCAGUCAUGGCACCAGCAAAGUGGCCCUAUCAAUAUUAAUCGCAAUAUUUGCCUGGCAUGCUCUUCGUCGCACUCUCUAUUACCAAUUAAUCCGGUCGUGCGAAGUAUGCUGCGAACAAGCAGAUAGGCCAUAACGCGCGAGAUGAAGCGAGGGAACGAGAGAGUAAGAGUGACCAGGGGACAAAUAAAAAUGAUGGAAGAAGAAAGACGGACAGAGAGGAAGAGAAAGAACGGGUGAGACAGUGAGACGGUGAAGGGGAAAGCGAGAGGGGCCAGAGAGAAAGAGAGAGAAACGACUCGUUGACGGGUUAGAUAUUGUGUCAGCCGAGUCGUCCAGCAUUAAAAGUAAUUACGACGUGAUUGACCGAGGGCCCGUUGGCCGAGGGUGAGGCGACGCCGAGGGGAAGGCUAAAUCAUCGGAGUGACGCACGUAGCUCGUUGUUGCCUCCCAAUUAUACAAUCAGCGAGACCAAGCAGAGGAGAAGCGAGAGGGAAAAACCGAAAGAUAGACGGAGAGUGGGAAGGCCAGCCCGUGCAGCAGAAGAAAGAAGCAAAGAAUAUACUUGGAUCUUGUAUCUCGUGACGGACGAAAGACGAGAAGAGACGGUGGCGGAAUUACGUCAGGAACGUAGUGGGGCAGUCGUGGUCGUUCGAGUCGGCGAAGAUCGGUGCCAUCGCAACGAUAAUUGCCAACCGGAACCACUAGCGCGACCGGGGAUGGAACGACCAUCUCUCGAACAUCGACUUUUCACAGCUACUUUCAAGGACAACGUUUGGUACGCGUAAACGUUACAGAUUCGAGGGAAGGUGUUUGAAUCCGCCCCUGUGCAAGACGAGAAGAAGAGGAAGACGGACGAAGGAAGAUGGACCGAUCGCGAUCGUUAUCGUCUAUUAUAAAGUCGAGUAAGUUGGCCUGUGAUGCAGCUGCCGUUUUGUACGGCGAUGACGACGGUGGUUUAUAAGUCGUGAUCUAGAAACAAAUGAGCCAUUGUGGAGGACAAUCGUUCCGUUAAGGACGGGAGGAGGGCCAAAUAGGCGUGAAGAAUCGAACGACCGAGCUGGCAAGAAGAAGUAAUCGAUUUCGAGAUGGUUUCCGUCGUACUGCGACGACGUCUAAUCCAACCGUUGCAAAAGGAAAACACAUUUCGCGCUCGAACACCUCCCAAGUGCUACGCGCUACCAUUCUUCAUCCGUUUAACGUUUGUUCCUCUCCGCGAAUCAACGUGCGAGCUUUACUUAAACGUUUCUAUUCUUACGUUACUUUUCCACCAAAUCGAUCCUGUGAUAUCGAAAUAACAAAGAAACAAACUUGGACGAAAGUACUAAAACUGUUCGGCUAGAUAUAAAAAGUGAGCCGAAGAAUGCUAAGAACAACGAAACGAAAUUGAACGAUACCACACCUGUACUCAAUUAGGUCGAGUAUUUAACAGGUAGGUACACACGUAACACCGGAAGAAAGGGAAACAAUAAUGUUUUGAUUUUGUUAGCUGUAUUGUUCCAACCGUAGUCUUGUGUGCCCUUCGUUUUAAGUACUGCACGCUUGAGUAUUUCGCGCUAUGAAGUACGCGCCAAUUGAGAGACAAAGGGCUGCACGAGUUGGCAAGGGUGACUCUGUAUGACGAUAUCACAAUAGUUUCUAUGAAGCCUUUUCUUCGAAGCUAUGGCCAUUAGUGGCGCCCUCUUCCUCUUUCUGCCGAUCGUUCAUUCCGUUAUUUUACUGUUUGACUCAACUUUAGAGCCUUUUCAAGGUUGUACUUGAAGACAUUCAUCGUGAUAAAUAGUCUCUUACGUGGCGCGAGCACAAUUAACGGAACCGUUUUCACGCGGCAGCGACUCUUCGUGGCGGCUAUUCAGAAAAAUCCGCUGUGUUGCAUGGGAAAAUACCAGACGCGAAUUUUUUCCCUUUCGGGAAAUCAAUUUCCUGCCGAAGAUGGAUAUUUUAUCAGCGACAAACUCGAGAACUUCGAAUCGUUAUUUACGAUGAAUGUGAUAAUUGAGCGUGAAGUAUAGAUACGUUACGUUAUUGCAAAACGAAACGUGAGAGCAAAUUAAUCGAAUCCGUAAUUCGUUUGCUAUCGAGCGCACAACAAAGCGUCGUACAUAUUAACUUUUGAAAUCGUCGAUCCACGUCGCAAAACUAAUUCGUCGGUGAAAAUCGGUGGGCACUGGCGAAACGACUUUGUGCUCGUUUAUUCGCGAUGCGUGUACAAAUUCGUAUUGCAUACACGUACCGUGUAUGCCACUCCUGCGUUUAAGCCACCAAUUUUACGACAUUGCAGAACCGUGAUUCAAAUCCUGGAAACCUUGCUCGAAUUAAACACCGACGCGUUCCAAAUAUCAACAUUAAUAAUACACCAGCAUCUACAUGCCGGUUUAACAGUAACUUUCAGAUCGAAAAACAUUUUCCUACUUCUUCGCUAAUUUACUUUGCGAAAGGAGAUUAGAUCGAUAAGGAUUGGGCAGCGAAUUAAUACUUAGAACGUGGUUAAAUUUAAAUAACAUAAUCUACGUGUCAAGGUAUAAAAAAUACUUUAGAAUAGUAGAUAUUCUACGGAAUUUCAGCAAUAAAUUGUUUAUCGCGCAAUUUUUACAAACUCCACGAAGCUAUGAAAUCUACGUGGCAGGAGAAAAACGUUUCAAAUCCUCCAAGUUCCUUCUUAUAAGUAGAAAAAAAACAACGAUCGAUAAUAUUUAAGUGAAAAAAGAAACUACAGAUGAAACGUUGCGUUAAGAGAACGUCGACCCUUGACGAAUCGAGAUAAACCAAUUCACAGAAAAGCUUCUCACUAAAUUUCUCUACUCUAACCAUUCCAUCCUAGUAAUAGCGACCGAACCAUUACCAUUAAUUGAAGAACAACAAUCGAACAGGCUCUCGACCAUCAUUAUCCUCUAGUAGAUCGCGUUUCUACGAUUCGUUCGGCAACAUGAAAGAGUGGGAUUCGCGGGCCUUCGCUCGCGUUUCACGACUCAUCGACGAAAGCCGUCCGAUCGAUCUUGAAUCUCGCGAUCCAGGUUCCGUGUUCGAUGUGGGACCCAUCGAAGGGGCCCCGCGUCAGCCAAGGCAGCUCGCGUCCAACGGUUAUCCAGGCACCGACGAGACGCGUCCGCGGUUUGAAAGGUGGGCGCCCCGGCACCGGUUACGAGCCUGGGCGUUAAAAUGUAUCGAAAAGAGACAGCGUUACGUACGCGGCACGUAUUUAUGGGCAUGAACCCGGUCAGAACGGAGAAAGAGACAGAAGGAGGCGAUCGGUAUGGACGAGUCGGCGGAUCCGGGCUAGGUCGUUCAACCAACCGGUGAACCAUCGAACCAUCCGAGCGACCAGCAACGGUCGGUGCGGAGCACCUUGCUCUCUUAACAGUCCUAACCGAGGCUAGAAAGAGAGGAACUGGACCCUCGCGCGGGACGGGGAAAGGGGCCGGAACGGGCCGCGGAAUAGAGCGAGAGAGAGAGAGGAGCCGUAACGAUCGGCGGUCGCACAGGAUCCGCCAAUGGUGAGUGACUUUGUGUCUCCGUUGCAAGUGUGAACCGGGCAUAAGCAGGCAAUCUUACAGAGAAAUCGCGCGCGACUGUGCACGCCAAUGUUGCGAUACGCCCGACUCUUCUCGCUCGUGAGCCCUGGCUCCCCAGGGUGGAGUCCAAAGGCUCGCCGGUGUAUUAAUAACGUCGCCCUGAUUUAUCGCGACGCGAGGGUUUCACUCGGUCAUGAGCUCGCGAAAGUGUUUUAAACGCCGGUAUCGUGGCUAACUGGUAAAUGGAUUAAUUGAAUUGAAAGAGGAAGUUGGAUUUAUGGAUGUAUAUCGGAGGCCAGUGGGUUUGAAGAUGAUGAAACGGUAGAAUUUUGGUAUCGUAAAGCAUCUGACUGAAAGAUGGUAGUGAUAUAUAGUAUGGUAGCAGGAUACACGUGCGAGGAUAUACCUAUUUUUCUUGCAAGAGUAGCGGCACGAGAGAAGGCGAAUUCGUGCUCCUUUGAAGAUGCUCUUAAACGUUUCACAGAUUCCAACUCUGUCAAACAAGUCCCUCCUUCCUUGCUCGUAUGCGCCAACGUACGAAAGGUUCGUUUGUUUCCACUUGCUUCGCAGAAUCUCUUUAUACAGUCUAACGAUCCCGUACGUGAAACAGGGUUGUUACACAUACGAGAGAAGUCUAACUGGUACGUACAUCCCGAAGAAGGCUACGAGUCGGAGCAGCGAUAAAACCUUCUCGAAACGCUUCGGAUAAUUGUUACGAGAAGGUAGGAAUCGGAGGAGCCGCAUCCGUUAUUCGGCGUGCACUGGUGAAAUGUAAAAAAACGCGCAGAGAAAUAAAAACGAAGAUGCGUUGGAAUUAAAAGGCCGUUGUUUAUCCGAGUCUUCCAUUGAGUUACUUCGCCAUUAAACAGAUUAAGGGGCCACAAUCAAGGAGAAAGCACUUGUCGUCGAAAAAAACACCUAAAUCAAUGAUAUCUCGACGGCCUGAAAUCGUAAGGUACGCGGGUCUGGCAUCCCGCCCACAGUUCAGGCUCCGCUCUGUUCACGUCCGUUCCUCCCAAACAUAGCAAAAUGGAGAAACGUGUUGUCUCGACGUCAAAUCGUAGCACGCGGCGAACACCGUGCCUCCCCCGGGCCGUCCAUUCCUCGAUCUCUGGAAUAAUAUUCCCAACGUUUUUUUACGGGCCACGUAUUCAAGACAAGAGGAAGGAAGAAAGGGACCACGGGCAGAACGAGGAGAAGAACAGUGGAAGACGGUGGAGGCGCUCCACCACGGAGAAUUGAAAAUGAUGAUUGGCGGUAAGCGGGCUGCCAACAGUGAUGGAGGAGCAGUAGAGAGGUGGUCAGCUACGAGAAACGGACAGAGAACGGGAUAAAGAGAAGGAGAUAGAAAGAGGCGAUGGGGUACUAAAUAAGAAAGCGAUGAGGGGGAGGUGGAAGCCGGAGGAGGACAUCCAACCUAACCGGAGGGGAAGAGAGACCACUUGGAAGGAAAAAGAGUCAGGAGCGCGCGAAUUAAGUCGAUCGCAGUGCGUGGAACCACAUCCUUCGCGCCCGCUACCUUCGAGGAUAUCGCUUUUCUUUCGUCCUUUCCCUCCUCGCCCUGUUUCGGCCGCCUCCCUCUCUGUCCCACCUUUUAACGUUGUUCGAAGCGCGUACCUCUUCUUUAUUAUCGGCAUCAAGCAUCGUCUUUUGUUUUAUAAUAACCGGCGUUGCUGCGGUCGCGCCGCUCUCGUAGCUCCUUUUGCAAUGCCGGAGGAGCAGCUCUCCAACUACUGCAAAGAGCAGAGUGGAGAGACGCGCGGGACGGGGAACGAGAGAACGAACGAAAGGAGAGGGGUAUCGCGAUAAAUUGCCAAUGCCUCGUAACGCUGACUUCACGCGCUCUUGAACACGCACUUUGGGUAUUGUCACUGAAAAGCCGCGUCCCCGUCCACGGGACUAUUCUUGUGAUUAACCGCAAGGCGAAUUAUUUCUAUCGAAAUCGCUCCAACGGGAAAAAUCGGUCGAAAAGGGAACAAUGUUUCGAGACAAAGAUCGGUCGUGCGAAUCGUCGUAAGGAAUAUUUCGUAAAAGGAAACCGUGACGACAGCUGGCAUCAGUCGCCGAACUUGCGAUAUUAGACGUAGCCGACGCAAACACGGAGUAAUCCCUCGAGCAGCAGGGUGCAUCCGGAAGUAUUUAAACUCAAGUCGCUGACAUUGCGCUCGAAGCUGUUCAUCUCGCACCCUUAUAUUAAAUAUUCUCCAUUGCAUCCCGGGGAGGCGAUGACCACAGAAAUAUAUAUGUACUCUCUCUCUUCUCUUUUUUCUCGUUUUCCAUCUUCGUUCUUUUUUUAUUCUUUUUGGACUGGAAGACGAGAUCGAGCGGACGGAUAAGGCUGUGACACGCAGCGACGCGCAGGGCGCCCUUAAUCCGGCAAUAAAAACCUCGGCUCACGUAUAUUAUUUUAUUUAGUUUCCCAAACUGCCACGACUUAAACGCAUCCAUAAUUACCGGCGACUACGUGAACCGCUUAACUUAUCGCGCGUUUCGACCGACUCUCUCGACCCUCUGUGCACCGCUGUACGAUCGUCGAUGGUCGUGUGUGCGUGCACGCCAACAUGUAUCGUCGAUCGUACGUACGAACGUAAUUUAUGCGUGCGUGGAUUUUAACUCCCACGCCAUGAAGGCAUACCACGAGAUUGUUCGUGCCCACGAUUGCGCGUAUACCUGUCCGACCCGUAAGAAUUAUCCGUGUCCAUUUGCGUCUGGCUCCCGAUACGCCCAGCCCGAAUUCGGCUCAAUGGAGUCGUUAUCUAUCGGGAACAAGGUGUUGAGAAUUCGGAUGGUCGCGAUAUUUCCCUCGUAAUUUCCUAGAAUCGGAUAUUAGGGUUUUUAUGCGACCAGCUCUUCUCUAGCGUCCGUUUCGAUCGCUCGAUGGACCAUGUUAAUAAAUAUAUAUUAUUCUUAAAAGCAUGCAGUACGUUGAAAGAAAAUUGUUGGAAUCGAAGAUUAGAUAUGCGUGAAAUCUUAGUGCAGCAAGUUAAGUUUAAGUUACGUUUUAUUAGAAAGAUUUAUACGCUUUGUUCGUGGAUACUGAUCGUAAAAUUGAAGAGGCAAAAAUCAUUUACGUUCUCCAGGUUCUAUAAUGGCAAAACGUCCAGAUACAUUAACAUCAAAUAUCAAGUGAAUUGGCAGUAAGCAUUUCAUACUUCAUACGUGUAAUGAAAGUUUAGUUACGAUGUAACAGAUUGUCUAUGCAAACGCAUAACCUGUGAAACGAUUUAACUGAUAAAAUUCGCAAAGCAUGGGAAAAUUAAAAAUUUGUACCUAAAAAUACAUAUUUUUCUAUAUAGGAUUAAACUUCUUUAACGUGAUUUUCAACUAAUAUUCUUUAUUGCGAUAUUAUAAUGUACUUUCAAUUUUCUCACAGACCGUAAGAUUGCAAGAACAAAUUCUUCGGUCUGUUCAGUAGAAUUCUUCCAACUUGUCUCAAUUUCUAACCGCGUCUCGCGCUGCGAAAGCACUUUGAGAGCUCGCGUUAAAUUAACGCCGGUCAUAAAUAAUAUACGUAUAUAUCGAUAUGUAUGUAAAUUAGUCGCAAUUUUACGUUCGUGUUCGUUGUCUUUUCGAGGUUCGUUCCUCGCCGACUCGAAAGCGAGUUAGUCCCCCUUCGGAUGGCAUUACUUUCUCUUACUUAGUACCAAGAGAAAUAAAACGCAUCCCUUAUACUUAACUACCGUAUAAUGGCUUGCAGUCGCCUAGGUAGCAGUCGCGAAUCAUUGUAUCCAAAGCAGAAGCAGCAGCAGCAGCAGCAGCAGCCAGUUCCUUUGGUCUCUGGUCGACGAAGGGAAACACGAGAGGGGAACGGCAUAACAAGUGAAGCGCGCGAUCAAGAAUAAUGUGAAAACGGACAGCGCGCGCGGACAAAACAACGAAAAAGAGGAGAACAAUGAACGAUGCUCGCGCUCGCUCCACGUAGACCCGGCAAUUUCGUCGAAUUGCAAGCGAUUACCGUCGCACGGCAGCUCGAAUUUUCCGUUUGUUUGAGUUACGGAGUUGUGCAAGGCCGCGAAAUGCUUCGAGGUUCGACGAAACAGACCCACGGCCAGCAACACACCAGAAACAUCAGAAGACUCUCUCUCUCUCUCUCUCUCUGUUUGUCUGUCUGUUUCGUCUAGAGAAUAGCCAUAGUUGGAAAAGGGGAGCGAGUUGCACGACGAACAGUUUGAACAACGAGCGCAACGAAGAGGUACAACAAGAAGAAAUUAGAGGUCUCGAAGAAGAAACGAGAACGGACAAACGGGAAAGAGAUACGGGAAAAGAACCCACACGGUUUACCUGCGCGUAUUACCGGUCCGGUAAUAUGCCCAAUGGCCACCGAUUAACACUCAAAUGAACUGCGGGAAACACCGGAGUCUUUUGCCCUUUCGAGAGAACCUAGUUUGCUCUUUACCGGACUCUUUGUUCGAAAGGUUUCUGAAUCUUCGUUUGCCUCUCUGUCUGUUUGUCUGUACGUACCACUGCUAGACAAUGGUACUGGCUAUUCCACGCCACGAUUUUUCCGGCUGCCGAAUAAAGAAGGAGCAGCCGAGGGAGAUAGGGGGGAGAUCGGAGAAAGAGAACUCGCGCGCGCGUCUCCAGCAGCAGACCCGCUAGAAAGAGGAUAAUUCCCUGUAAGUGGAUAAUGCCUCGACGGUGCUCCUUGCCUACGCACCCAAGAUCGUACUCCAACCUCCUGCUUCCUCCUCGUUCUCGAUCCUCCUUUCCUACCGUCGUUUCGCAUGGUAGUUUUGUGGCUGGUGGUUGAAGGCUUUGUAGUUUGGAGCCCGGUAGUCUCCGUCGCUCCUUCUAUCGUUUCUAUCUACGCGGUUCUAUCUCCGUCUUUCUGCAGGAUCUUAUUGUACAACUCGCUUUCAAAGUUCCACUCGUUGCACCCGGACGCGCCACCACCGUGGAAUUCGCGUUUUUCCUUCCUCGUCGCUUUCUCCCACCUCCUGUCCUCUCCCUUCGCUCCUCUUCACCUUCCUUCCCUCCCCCAUCGCUGGCUCUAGGGUUUUAUCGCGCGAGAUACCCUCACUGCCGUUUGCGGUUCAUCCUCCAAUUAUCCCUAAUACAGAGAAUACCGUGGAGCGUUAUUAUUACUCCCGGCUAUUCCCGAUUGUUGCUCUUUCCUCGAGAUUUUCGUUUGUGCCACGUUGUACGUGCAGUCUAAACUCGGACGAACAGACGGAUAGUAAUUGGCCUGAUUCUUCCAGCCGAAAAUCCAUCAGCAUAUUCAAAGUGUUUCGUUGCUUAAUAUUCUGAGGUAUUCAAACAUUUCCAGAGAAACAAGGUUCGAUCGAAGAAACAAGACAAUCGAGGGCUAUAAUUGUAAAAUUGUUGGUAUUUUAGUUUUGAAAGUUUAACCCUUAUGAAAGUGAGCAAAAUUUUGCUGUUAUUCGAUAGGCGUAUACGUAAAUUCGGAGCUUUGAUAUUUAAAACUUUCACGGAAAUUCUCACAUAAAAAUGGCGAAAGAAAUGUGGAUCCAGAGAAAUUAUUUUCAUUUUCCGGAGGGAGGUCGUGUUAUCGCAAAAGUUUGCACGCUCUGUGAUAUCUUUUCUCCAGAAAUGGAAGCGGUAUGUACUCAAAGAGAGGAAAAAUAUGUACCGAAUAGGUUGUUCGAGGUCGUGGAUAAUUGUCGUAUUUCGAGUCGGGCAUUGGAGUACGUGCAAACUGUCGACGGUACAUCCCUUACGGUUAAACGAACGAAAGAACGUGGUAAUACUGUUCGUCGUUAAAUCCAUGGCGUGGCCUAACGUAGCGUUUCGCAUGGCUACAGUGUCUGAAAGGCAAAGAACAGACGGUCAAACGAUACACCGCCCUGAAAUCUACAUUUAUCCUCUGAAUUUUAUAGGCUGCCGUCAGAGCGAUUCCGUUGUUCUCGGCACCGAGAGCUUCUCUCUUUGAUGGUCUUUCCUGCAACAGCUAAAUGCUCGACGCGGCGUGAACGAAUCAUCCACCGUGCAACUUUUUGCCCGUCGAUCGCAAUGACUUUUACGACGGUCAAGUCCCUGGGAUGGUUCUUACGAUCAUAAACGUGUCAGCUGUUAACUUUCGAUCGGUAUGCUAUCGCGCGAAGCGAUGAUAGCGUUAGGAAGCUCGCAACCGAAUAUCCUAUCCGCGCAAUGCCUGGCGGAGGAACGAUUGAUGCGCGUCAUUUCGAACGAGAAUCCGCAAAGUUGCCGCGUACUUUAACAGUCACGCGUGAAUCUCGCGGUUAGACGAUCCUCGAGUCGGUAUUUCAGUAGAAAUGCAGAUUCCUUUCUCUUCGCCAGGUUUCUCGAGUAUAAUCGCGAAGACGAUGCGCGUAAGAUCGUAAAAGAUCAUCGUGCGAACAGAAUACGAUGGUCUGUCGAGAAUUUUAGCUAGAAACGAACGAUCUAGGAAAAGGAGUAACGAGUAUCGAGUUUCCACGAAGAAUGACGAAACAAGGAAGUAAAUUUUACGCUCGUCUAGGUUUCCCGCGCGACCAAACGACGAACGAUGGAACACACAGAGAAGCGAGGAGAAGGAAGUGAGCGCAGAACGAUCCAGAGCAACGGAACCAGUAGAAAUCUCUCGCUACCUUUUCCAGACCUCCAGCGGCGCAGCGAUCGAAAACGAUCGAAUAGAGCAAGGUAUUCCGUGUAAAGCGUUCGUCAGGCCAAUCGUAUAGCGGUGAGAACGAGUUCGCUCGCGUUUCAUCGAAUGUUCCCAUGGAUGCCGUGGUUCGUGAUGCCGGAAAAAUCCAUAACGUCAGCCACUAGUAGGCAAAGCACAAUCCUAUUGGCUCUCUUCCCGUUGCUCGACACACUGCGAGAGAGCUGAUAGCGUCCAAGCUGACGAGUCCAUAAGCCAAGUUUUCGAGGUGCAUCUUGAGACUGCUGCGCGUUCCUGUAUCGUGUAUACCACGUUGGUCGCGUACAAGUAUAUAUAAGUAUUUCCACGUACGGGGAUGACUCGGUAGACGACCAGCGGACAGGGAUCAGCGAAGACCUCGGCCGAGCACAGUUUUGUUAUGAGGAUCGUAUAAUAUUCCAGUCAGACUCGCGGCUGUACAACGGGCAUCGGCAUCCGCGAGCUGAAUGACAAUUCGGCGGAUCCGAAGCGCUGGGUAAUUGCCAGCUUAGCCAAUCAUUAUAACGUGUAUGGUGGAUAUGCUACGGGUUGACAGGCCUCGAAUAACCGACAGUUAACGGACGGUUGACAUUCGUGAUUUACGUGAAUGCGCCAUAAAUCUGGCUAGCUCUGAAACCUAGACUCCUUGCGCUCGUGCCUUUUUAACAUGCUGCGGCCGAUUCGUUCUAAAGCUUCGGCUACCUUAUUUGGAGGAUUUGUCUACCGCUUCGUAGAUCAGCCGUCGAUAAAUGUGUUCAUAGUUGAUACCAGCCAUGGCUAUUAUAUGAAAACUUAUGUGUCUAGUAUAUGAUGUAACAAUUUGACGACUGACGCAGUUAAAUUUGAUUGCAUAUCACGAAUUGGUAUAUCAGAUAUACGAAAAGUUCUUCAGACAUUUAUUUAUCCUUUACAAGAAUCAACUCUGUCUCGACUUCCAUGUGUCUUAAUGUACGAUGUUUGGCGAUUAAUUUUUAUGCCUUUCUCUUUGCAGUUUCGUAUCGAUUGGAAACACAAUAGAUCGUGGAUGACCGACUUAGUCAGAUUCACAGCGAUCCUCGAUUUAUUACAAAGCGAACUACUACGAUGCGAAGUUAUUAUGGAAAACGUAUCCAUAUUAGAAAUCGAAUUAAAUGGCUUCUCUUGCCAAGGAGAAGUAAACGAUCGCGACGAUAUUCCUCGAGGUGAAUCGGAAUACGAUAAAUUAUUGCAAAUAAUAAUGUCAUCGCGUACCGUGGAAGGUGCUCGUUAAACAGAAGGCAGUACAAUCGUGCUGCUAAUGACCGGAGCAGGAGAGUUGUUUCUUAGUAUAACAACGCCAGCGACCGUAGAUACUUCGUCACGCGUAGAGGAUGUACGAGUCCCAGCGAAUCAUUAGUAAGGUAUCCGCCUUGAAGGCUGGUACUUUCCUUUUAGCCAGAUGCUUUUGUAGAUUUUAAUCCGCAGAUCGUCCGUACGUUGCCACCCAAAUGAGAUCCUUUAUUUCCUCUUAGCUCAAUAAACACGAUAUCUCACUGCAAUGCUUAUUCGAUUAAACCGCGGGAACCAUGUGAUUUCGUAAUUCUGCGAUCGUCGAUAUUGACGCAAGCACACGUAUUUCUCCUGUGAUUUGGUAAUAUUUACGUUCAACUUGGUAGUUCAUUGUCCCUUGAAUAUUGUUUUUUCUCUUUAGUUCAUUAAAAAUUUAUCGAAGACGAUCUUUAAAAUUCACCUAAUGGCCAGGAGAUAUGUUCCAGCUCGAGAAAAAAAACAAUGAGUGGAAAUCACGAAUUGGAAUUUACGUCACAUAGUUUUGAAGUUGGUGUGCCGGCUAUUUUUACGUGCUACGCGAAGAAUGAAUAAUAAACCGCGUAUCCGCGUUUUAACUUCUGAACUGGAGAACAACAUAACUGUUCAGGUUGCGUGGGUUAUUCGUAGUAUAAAUGGAUAUUGACAAAACCAUCUAAUUAGACUUGUAGCGAAUAUACCCAAGUGAAAGGUUCGUAGGCGUGGCAGGAAGUGCACAAUGGAUGGGAAACAUGAUAGCACACAUUAAAUAUAUAUGACCGCGAAAACCUGAGGCUAAGAAAGUUACUAUACCGCAAAAGGUUAAUUACUACGCAAAGUAUUAUUAUUCUUACUACUAGUAAUGCACUUUGAUCGCGGACCAUGAUAUUUCCUUUACGUUACCGAAUCAAACCUCUUCCAUCGAAAUCGCGAUAUACAUAAAUCAAUUCCUGCCCGAUGGAGGCCGAAUCACCGCUGUCACGAGCAUUAUUUCAUAUAUAUUACGUUUUAUUAAGCAAAGAAUGAAAAAGUCUUUGCAAUACCGGAAGGCAAGCAACGGAUAAACCUAACUAUAUGCAAAACACUUUUUACCUCUACGUGAUAAUUACAUGAAUAAUUACAAAAAUAAGGUCGCUCACAUGGUUCAGAUAGCCGUUGAGAAAUAUUUGCAUAUUUCUCUAACGAAGGGUUUCCUUAUCAGGCUUUAUUCAUUUCACUUUCAUGGUUACUUUCAUAGUUAUAUAAAAAUACUACCAUGUAAAUGAUACGAAAUUUAACAUACUAAGAUCUGAUAGAUCAUCUAAAUAAAUAUAAUAAUAUGCAAACGCUUUUCGUAGCUACUGUAAAUGUAGCCUAGAAAAUAAUAGACGUGUCUUCACCGCCCGUUAAGUAACACGUAUUGAUUAUUUAAUUUUACCCUAUACUAUUAGAGUUUAACACUACUCAAGAUAUCGUCGGUUAUUUUAGUUUUAUUUGCCACCACUGAACGCGUGUACGUCGAAGCACGGCGCAUUAUGUAAAUUAUUUGUGAUGGAGUACACGGUUCGCGGGUUCGUUAGUUAAAGAAAAUUAUUGCGACCGGCAAAAAGGAUCGCGAAGAAGGAUCGAACGUAUUAAUGCGUUCAAGGAAGGUAUGGCCAUGUAAUGUUUCGAGUUUCUGUUUCAGGAACCGUACGACGUUUCGCGGAACACAACGGCUCGUAAGCGGCCGUCGUGCAGGCGUUAAAGAUCUGAUGCCCACUAAUGACGAAGUCUUGUGUUCACGUGUUGACACUAACUGAUCACGAAAAGGAGGACGAAGAAGUGUCAAUGAUUGCUUCGCUGUGUCAUCCUGUCCGUUUGAUAAAUGGCUGGAAAUAUCGGAGAGAAUAGGGUACCGAGAAAUCAAGCGUCCGGUAGAAGAAUCUCCGGACGGAUCCGAACAAGGGCUGGUCGUGCAGGCGUUAAGGAUCCGAUGACGCUAAUGACGAGGCCAUGUGUCCGCAUAUUGACGCUAACUGGACUGACCGCGAAGAAGGAAAGCAAGAAGGAUACGAAAGAAGAAGCAGAAGAAGAGAAGAAAGAUAAAAGGGGAAGAGGUGGCGAUGGUUUGCAGUACCACGAGUAGAGUAGAAGACCGGUGUGCACGGAGGUAACGGAGGUAACAAACGUCUCCUCGAGGCCUCGAGUGUGGUAGAAAGGCGGUGGAGGGAGGGCCGCGGCAAAGGGUUCUUCCGAGGGUUAGUCCGCAGAGGUGAGAGGCAGAUCGUCUCGCGAGAAGGACCGCGCUCGAGGGAGAAGGAAGAUGAGAAAGCCCCAGGCUCGAGCCCAGCACCUCAUUACCCGAUAAUUUACUACGCGAGUAAUUAACUGGGCACACAAACGGUGCCACGUUAUAUACACCCUGCGCGCAUAUAUACGCCUCGACGACUCUUCCCUGGCUCUUUUCGAUUCUGCAGGCUCAUAUAUUACCGGUGUCGCGUCCUCCUGCCGAUCUAUUUAUCCAUUCGUCUGUACGUGAUGAACCUUCGACGUGCGAGUGCACGUAGGUAUUUCCAAAGACCAGUCUGACGAUAAUCGCUUAAACGAUAGAAAAUGAGACGACAGAGACGGAACCGUGUGCGGAACAUCGCCACGGAAUCGUACGCAGUUCGGUGCACCGUGUUUCUUUCGUUCGCACGGUUAUAAAUGCGACGCGAUAUUCCUCGUUCGCGCCCAACGUGUUGUAUGCUUACAAAGCACCGGCAAACGAGUGUAUAUAUCGGGGGAUAUCGUAUGUUACGAAAGAAAGUAUCAAUCGAAUCCUCGUUACGUGUGGUACACGCUUGUUUCAUGAUCUAUACGCUGUGUUAGCCAUUCUUCUGUAUUUGUACUUUUCAACGCAACGUUACAGGCAGGUACACUUAGUCCGAUAUUACCUAACAAUGUCUCUCUGAAUCUCGUGAGAAGCUUUAACAUUUAUCUGGGAAUUUACGACCAUUUACCUUACCUGCUUGUCAUAAAUAAGUUUGUGCAAGUCAUCCGGUUUUGGAGAAAUUGAACAGCGUACCGAACCACCUCGGGGGUAGUUACUUUAUUCUUGGGAAUUGAUCCGAGCAAUAAAAUGAAAAAAAAAGAAGAUCUUGUUGUCGAAAGAAUAGGACGAAAUACGUAUUUAGACCGCAGUUCCCCUAAACGCAUUUCUCGAUGCUUUAGUUUCGCAAAUAUGGAUCCGGUGGACACUAAGAAUAUAUAGUAUUUUGAGCUCGUCAUUAGCAUCAGAUCUACGGCCGUUACUCUGCUGAUUCCCCGAGUUGGUGUUCGCAAAAUAUGGACUGGAUCGUUGAAAGGCGGCCGUGUGUCGGCGAGGCGAACGUUUCCGCGAAAGACGGACGAGAACCGAAGAAAUCGCCAUUUAUAGGCGCUACCGAGGUGGCUAUCGCUUGUUAUUCGUACGAGCCCCGGCACGUUCCUGGAUUUUUCAUUUGAUACGCAUUUUACGAUUUUUCGCGUGCGACUAGCUUAGCCUCGGCUUCUCUGUGCAGUCAUCAGAUCGAGGCUGCCUGCAUGCUAAUCGAUCUCUCUGGCUGAGCCAGAGAAAACUAUGCAUGAAGAAUGGUUCGCCGUGCUAGGGCUGCGAAAUCGAUCGUUCGAUUUCUUUCAGCCGAUCCGAAAGCCGAUUGGCGCGGUUCGAUUCGUUGUCAUCGUAAUUUUCAUUACACGAUGCGUCCCAUCCAUGAAUCAACGCUCUACGACAUUGGUAUACUGAUUCGGUUAGAAGCACGUGGACGUGAUUGAUAACAAAAGCGCGAACCGGUACUUUUCCUUUCCCACAACCGCGUGGUGGUUCGCGGGUUCGUACACGGCGCCGAUCGUCGGUGCCAAACUUAAUUUAUUAAAGGUAAUAUGUUAUCAUUUUCCGUUAAUAAAUUUUUGCCACAUCGGCAAUAAUUUAGCAAUGCAGGCAGAUUAAUUUGAGCGUCGCCUCGGCGGGUUGUUAAGCGGACGAUAAAUAUCCCCGUAAAUCUGCAACGACAAUGUAAAUCACACCUCCAAAUUUAUCAUCUUUCGGCUAUUUAAACGAAGAGGAGGAAGAGGAAGAAUAAUUCUAAGACGGGGAUGCGUACGAAUAUUAAAAUAAGGUGUCAACCCCUGGACGGUAUAAUAAAUUGCUGGCAAACGGUAGGAACCACCGAAGAGAUAGUAGUUUAUUAUCAGGCCAUGAGCACCACUGGCAGACUGACAUCGUGUUGACCACCGACACGUUUGCCGGGAAGGAUGCAUAUGCUGGCCGCCGUGGUGCAGAGCAGUUUGGUACGCGAACAGAGCACUAAAAUAAUAAUGCUCGCGACUAUAGGGCCCUCUGGGGCUUCGUCGACCGCAGGAGAGGCCGCGAAGAGAAGCAAGAGAUGCGUGCCUAGGCCCGAAGAAAAGGCGUCGGAGCUGAUUAGAAUGAGAAUAGACGUGGGUGUGGAUGCGUGUUAAAGUUGAACGAAGAGGGAAAGAAAAAAGAAAGGAACUACGUAUACGAGAACGAAGGGAAACACGAGCAACAGAGAGGGAGACAGCUACGGAUCGGAGAACGAACAGAUGAGAGAUAGAAGCGAGCAAACUAAAUAAUAACCCCCACUUUCGGGCCGAAGCCAUCAGCCGUCCUCUGAAACCCGAAAAGACCACCCGGUGCAACGCAACGGAACGAGAAGUUGUGCGCCGAGCCAACAAGUGGGCUCAGGUGAGCAGAGGUGAGCAUUUGAAAUGGUAAUUACGCCCUGAAACCGACGAUCGACGAUAAAACGAUUUCGAAUGGUCACCUCGGUUAGAUGAAGUUUCACGUGCCUCCACCGACCGAUAGCACAUCCUCGCAAUGUCCUCUUCUGUAUCGUAUUUGUCAUUUCGAGGCGCAAAAAUUUAUCGCCUCUCUUCCACGCGUUCCACCUUCGAUUUAUUCUUCGUUCUUUCUUUUUCUUAUUUGUCGUAUUGCGUGAAAACACGAAGUAAAUCUUGUUUCUCGUUAUGACGAGCGUUGAAAAGAUACAUUGUUAAAACGGUACGCACGAGCACCGAGCAGGAACAAGUAUAAGCUCUUUCGAAGCGCAAUACCGGAAUUUAAUUAUUCUUUCGUUCGUGUUGCUCAUCUUGGACCACGGCGAUCGCCAGGCGUCGGUGCAUUAUGCAUACGAGAACCUGAGACCGGGACUUAUGAAGGAUCUGAUUGAGUUCUGAGUAAAUGGCAUCUGGUUAGCCAAGCUGCUAAUUAAACACCCACAAAGGAUACUAACCUCGUACCUCUUAGGUGUAUCGCCUUACAGGCGGACUCGGGUACCGUGUUUGAGUUUCAGUUUCUCGAAUCAAUUUGUUAUAUACUUUUUGAACGUCUUCCAACCUCUCAAAUGCCCUUUUAUAGGAUAGAAAAGACUAUAACGUUACGAACGGAACGAUAUCCUGAAUUUCUAUAAUUACACUUUGAUACGUCGAUCGAUUAUUAUUUAAUAAUAUCCCAUUGAACAAUAUUCCAACGUAAUAAAUUAAAUGCUUAAUUUUCAAUCAACCGCCAAUAAUGCUGUUUAAUUACCUGCAACGUGUGUUGGUCUCUUUCCAUUGAUCGUGGCGGGACAUCUCUCACUCGGCAUACCUCGAAACACCGAACGUCGGUACAUUAUGUAUACGAGACUCGGAGAGAGAGGUGCGCUUAUGAAGGGAUCUGAUUGAGUUCUGAGUAUAUGGCGUCUGGUUUGCCAAGCUGCUAAUUAAACACCCGCGAAGAGGGUCCCGACACACAGGCACACAAAUCACACACCAGCUUUGUCUUACUAACUGUCGCGUUCUCCUUUACCUCGUUUUCUCUUUCUCUUUCUCCUUAUCUUUCCGUCUCCGUUCUUCCUUCUCCCUCUUGCAUUACCUUCGCAACCAAGAGUCUCUCGUCCCCUUCCUGUUUUCUUUGCUCUUGCUUCCGCUGAUUGAUAUUUAAGCUUGAGUUUAACCCACCCAUGAUUCCCCCCUUCAACCACCCUCAUCCAUGUUCUACGGGGUCGUUAGCGAGCUGCUGCUCCUGGUACUGCCGCAGCUGAUGUCCCUGUUGUUGAUGUUGGUGUCUGUGUCGUUGCUGGUGAUUUCAGCACACCUGGCGAGGAGACUCGCUGGGUACCAGCACGGCUGGUGCCACCGAAGCAAUGGCAUACACCUCGAUUAAAUCCGUUUCACUAGCCGAUGCCCAACAUCCUUUGCGACGAUUUCCUUCGUCUCUCGGCGACCUAAGUGCCUUAUUCCAGUUGCUCUGGCCGGAAACAGGAAUGCCAUGGAAAUGCAGAUUCAUGAAAUCGGCUAAGCCGGCGAAGCAACGCGCCACGACACGAAUAAUUUGAACCAGCAUAUUUCUGAAGAAUAUUGAAAUUGGAAAAAUCAUAAUCCACGUUUAUGCAUUGAAGAUAUCAUACGCUGAAUUUUCAACAAAGGGAGAGUAUUUCACGAAGGAAGAGAAUUUCAUCUUUUAAGAAGAUGCUGCUUUAACUCUAUUCUCGUACUUGAACCUACGUUACGACUAAACUCUAAAAGGAAAUCUGUCGAUUUCUUCUAAUACGUUAUGGCAUUGGCUCGAUCUCUGCGUAAAACAUUAUAUGGCAAUAAAUUAAAAUAUUCACACGUGUGUAUACUGAAUUUUCAAAAAACAAGGGAGGGUAGAAAAGACGUGCGUCGAACGGAGUAGUGUUGGACAGGAUCGUAAAUCUGCAUCGAAUUCCACGAGGUGAACCGUGGCCUCACUUUCAGGCCGGGUUGCAGGAACGGCGUCAGCGAGGAUAUAUAUGGCUCGCGUGGCUUUUUACGGGAACGCUUUGUCCGAAGUAAUUACACGUGUACGAACGAAUCCUCGCGCACGUUGCGCCACGUACGAGGCGGGCAAGACAAGAGGUGUUCGAAGUCCAAUAAACGGUCGAAGACACGCGUGGAUUCUCGCCGCCUGGGAGUCACAGUGACUGGUCCUCGCGUACGUACACGUAUAUACAGGGUUACAUCAAGAGUGUAAAAGGUUCCUGUAAGUCGCUCGGGGGACCCCAGGACGAUUCUCCUCGAUCCUUCUUGCCGGACAGGCACGUAUAAAGCACCUGUUGGUCGGCCGAAUCGCACGCGUUCUUUGCUUUAACCGGCUUGUAUAUAUCGUGCAUCGUGCCGGCCCUUUUUGCCACUGGGAACAGAAAUAUUUUCACAGCUGACCGAGCAUCGUCGAGAGCGUACUUGGCACCUCGUCGCUGAUGGAUACGCUUCGACUAGAUUAUAUGCAAAAUUCCUUAUCGUGCCAAUUCCUCUCUUCCCUCUCCUUUCCUUCUCUUUUCCCCUUUCCCCGCUUUCUUUCUUCUCCUUGUUGUUUUAUUUUGUCGUACUGACACGAUUCUCUACACAGGCAAUGAGAUAAAUUGCAUCCUCGUUGAAUUACAGAAUACGUACUAACUUCUUUCCUCGUUGUCUGACUCUGGCUCCAACCAACUGGCUGUAUUAUAAUGGUGGUUAAUACACGGCUUUAUCGAGCUGCUCGAUAACGGGCCAAGUCCGCAAGAUGAUAAAAUUUCUGCGAGCUGGCAGUUUUAUAACGAUCUCGCAAGAAUAGAGCGGCCGGCUUCAUUACCGCGUAAUGCCUAUGAAUUAUACGCAGUUAUAUAUGAGUUUCUAUUAUCCUAAGUUUCAAUUUACUGCACUUGUGCGUGCGAUCGAUGCGUUUCUUAGCAGCGGACGCGAUAUUUAAUUGGACAAAAUAGACGGGGCGCGAUCGUAUCGUGUACACACAGCCCCGCGUCACCUCGCCGCCACCAAAAAGAUGUAACGCAACGUGUAAUUAUAUGGUGGGUGUCUCCCGUGUAUAUCAGCGACGUGGCUAUCGUCGAACACGGACCAUUAACAAGUUCAUAAUCGUACCAGCAGCUGUUAUCCUUACACGAUACGCCCGGUAAUUGAUACGAGAUUUCGAGGAAGCGCGUCUCCGCUCCGCGACCAACCACUCCGUGCCCGCUUACCGAAGUAACAAAAUCAAAAGGAGAAGAAACCGAGAGAUGCGCCACUCCUUGGCACCUUUUUGGUGCUGCAGGUCUGCUGGACUACCCGGAUCAACGUCCAUGAAAGAUAUCACGAACAGUCUCUAACGUGGUCGCCGGAGGGUCCUCCUCUCGAGGUGGCUGGUAAUUUAUACGUUUAUCUCAUUCCGUCAAUAUUUAAAGAAGGACGCGCGGUACGGUUCGUUCGGAGCCCCCUAAAACCCGCUUCGGGAUCCCAUUUGGGAAUGGCCGCGGGAGAACAGCUUUCGUCGCACCGGUUAGAUUUAUGUCAACCAAAGUGUACGCGGCUAAUUUAACGUUAAUAUGCAUAUCGUCAUUAAGAUCACGAAAAGUUCUGCUUAUCUGCUACGGGCAUCUUUUAACGAUGAGACGAGUUUGAUAAAUGGCAACUCUCUUACGAGUUGAAGUGGAUAUUGCGUUUUCAGUCUAAUGUUUAAUUAGUAGUAACGUAGUAACGGCGUUUAUUUACAGGUAAACAUGCGCGAAUUAUGCGUUAUCGAUGUUAAAUGAGAAUAACGAUUUGUGUAUUGAAGUACUUACCACUAUUUGAAUUAGUGAAAAUGUAGAACGUUGUAGAGGAAAGUGAACGAGGCGCUGAAUAAUUUCCUGAAUAAAAAAAAAAAGAAAAAAGAACAAGUGCUAAGUCGAAGUGGUUGGUUGAGCAAACAGCGAGGUGAUUCAUAAGGAAAAGAACACGCAGCAACACAUUUUUACGCAUUCCAGUUAAAAAAACGUUCCGCAGUAUAUUUUCAGACCCAAUAGCAUUUGCAUAAAGUAAAUAUCUAGUUCAUUGUAGCGAUGUUUGCACGGUGAGGUGUAACGCGAGAUCAAAGAGGCAAAUUUGACUUUGGUGCUAUCGGAUUUCCAAGGAAUCUUGACAUUUCCGUUACGUAAUUAUCCUUUAUUAAAAAAUUAAGAGCAUCAGAUAAGAAAAUUUCCUUACUAUUUCACAUUUCUUCGGAUAUAUUUGUACUCUUUACAGCUUAUUCCCCAUUUCUAUCUUCUAAGACAAAAAGAUCUAACACAAAGAAAAUAAAUUACAUACGAUAAAGUUUGUUCGAAAAUCGAAAGACGAACCUUGUUUCAAAAGUAAUACACAAAUUGCUAAUUGUCUGCGAUCCACGUGAAAUUAAAAAUACUCUUAAACGAUAUGUCGUAUGCUAUUGACUUUAAGAAAUUUCUAAAAUUAUAAAAAAUAUGUUUCUCCUGCGAUCGAUUUAAUAGCGACUUGAUUUUUCAUUAACUUUAAUCGAAAUUAUUAAGACUCGAGUUUACAAACGCUGUUCCAAUGAAUUUCUAGAGAGGGCUAUUUUUACUAACAAAAAGAAUAAAAGACGUUUAAAAAUGUAUCUGUAUCUGUAUCUGUACACCGUAGAAUACAUAGGAGAUAAGAGCGAAACAGAAAACGAGGAGAUCAGAAACGUAUCCCGUCUCAUUGCAUACAGGGAGAUGGCAAUGCAGUGUUAGCAAACUGUGCAUUAGCAUCACAAAGACUGCAUCUGCAGCUUUGCUCGCGUUGCUUACGGAUCGCAUGUGGCCACGUGUGCGUGUGUCUGUGUACCGUGUACACACUACGUAGACCCAGGUAUCUGUGUGUUAACGCCGAAACGAACUCAUGUGUGCACCGAUUUCAUAGCGUACAGUGGUGACACAGAAUGCUACGACGAAAUAAGCAACGCACGAACCGGGCAAGCCUCGUAAUUAUCCUUAAACACAGUAAUUAACGUUCGCGGGACGAGUUCGGGGGUGUCGCGGCGACGUUUUCACCCUUCUUUAACCCCUCAUCACGGCCAUUAUCGUCCAGGUUAUGAUUAUACGACGGAGGCAAGCUAUACGCGACAGAGAAAGGGAAAAAGGCAUUGAAAGUCACAUCAGACCGGCCACAUGAAUUAAUUCUACUGAAAUUAUGAGCGACUGUGCGUGUGGAAAAUUAGUCAGAGAAAAUGUGGACUGACGAAUCGACGUCCUCGGCCGGUGAUUCUUUAUAACGCACCGAUGUAUAAUGUAACAGAUGCACGUUCCAGCUUUGAUUCUAUCAAUACGACGAAUACGUGUACGUAUAAGGAUCGAUGCGAUGUAUUUGAAUUGUACAAGAUGUCACUUUCGUGAUCGGUGGCCUGAUGAGGUCAGAUAAAUUAACCCGUAUUCAACGUAAGGUACUACGAAAUUGGUGAUAAUAAAAUUAAUAAUAAUAAUAUAAUAACAAUUUCCUAUUGAUAAUUUUCCUCUACUUCUGUUGGUAAAUAGGUAGAAAACUUAGUAAAUAGUUUCGUCGGUAUUCCCGACGAAUAAAACUAAAAAUUAUUAGAAUUUAUUCGAAUAAAUUCCUGACUCCUCCACUCUUGUAAUACGAUUAUAAUACAAUCUAGCUCAAGAAUACAUAAAUACAUGUUUUAAACUAGAUGUCAGAAAAAAACCAACAUUCUGUUUGAGAUUAACGCGCAAAGGAUUGAAAUCCGUUACCCUAAUCCUGCACAGCGUACAUCAUGGUCGUUAAAUUCAUGAAAGAUGUUCUAGCCGAGGCAGCAAUAAAAGGGACAAGAGAAUCAAUAAGGUUGCAUAGUAUCUAUCGCGGAGACUAAGUACAGGAUUUAAUCGACACCAGGGACGAAUCGACAGUUGGCGGUAAUCGCAGACAAGCGCUACCGUACCGAAUAAGAGGGUCAGGCGACCGCGGUGGAAUAGGAGGAUGGAAGGAGGGAUGAUUGUGCAGAGCACCGCGUAUAAUUAGCGUAAUAAGUAGUUUUUUGAGGCGGGGCCCGUGCAGAGAGAAAACAAAGCGAUGGCUGGAAGGCAGCUAAUUUUGAUCCAGGAUCGGAGGACAAAAGGAGUUAAAGCGCGUGUGUGCGUUGAUAGAGCCAGGAGCAGGGUGGUGAAGGGCGGAGGAGGAGAAAUGCCAGAAAAGAAAAAGCAGCGCCUGACGCACAUCCUCCCUCGUCCAUUCAUUCUUUUUCAGCGGGUCCGCUUGGUUUCGAAUCAAAAGGCGGGGGCACCCUUUGGGUCCGCGAGACCGUAUUUUUUUCUCCGUCUAUCUCGCUCUUUCUCUACGUUCGACCCCUUUUAUACGCGGCCGUGCCGACAAAAGAUCGGGGUGCGCGCGUGCACACCAAGACAAGAGAGACGAUCGCUGGGGAGACACCCGGUAAAUCUCGACAAUGAACCGCACCGGUGUACAAGCUCCUCGAAAACGGAUUAAUUACAGUUUACCUCCGUAAUUAGCCCCGCGGGAACGGCCUCUCGCUGGGCCUUCUAUUUCUCUGGGACCGAUCACGUAAUCGUCCUGUGCGCGAGUUUUUCUUCCCUCCAGUCCUGCCAUUAUAUUAUACGUUUAACCUAGCAUUGUGAAUAUUUCUGGACAAUAGUCAGUCCGCGAGUUAAAUAUUCUCAAAAAACUGCAUCGUGUAUAUAACUAGAAUAUCGAUACCAGCGUUUCGAAGAACAGAUAGAUGAUAGAAAAGAAAUCUCUAAGAAAAAUAUCUAAACUUUCGUUGGAUGUUUUCAAUCAGACAGGACGACAUUGGGAUAGGUUUCCUUUUAGAAAACUAACAAAAAGAAAUAAACCGCGAAGGGAUGUCAAGAAAACAGAUCCGGCACGGAGAACCAAGAGAGAGCAACGUUUGUGCAAGAUCGUGCGAUGUUUGUACGAAUUUACGAGUCGCGCUAAAAACGUAGCGGCAUAAAGCGGUAACGAUCGUUCCCUUUAUCGAACAGUCGCAAAGGAAACGAAGUAAGAAAAUGUAGAAGACGAUACACGUACAUGUGAAUGCAAAUCGCGUAAGUAGAGAGGACCGCUAACCCGAUAUAUUUCACGGACGAGCGCACGAACGCACGGCGCACGGAUUAUUGGUAUCAAGCACAAAAAUAGAAGAAGGUUGUCAUAACGCGAACAAAUAAACUUCCAUCAAGCUCGUGCACGGAUCAGAUCGCGAUUUCUGGUUAUAUUAACGCCAACGGCGAGGUUACCAGUAACCUAACACCACACAUUGAACAACUUGCACAAUUAAUUAAUUAACAUAAGCUUCAAGGCGUCGUCGCUUUACGUUUAUUCGAUUCUUCCCCCUUUUCCAAAGCCCUCCCCGCUGUUCUGUGUACCCGUAACCUAACGAAACGCAACGUUUGUCUUCCUUUUAUGUCAAGAGACCACGAGUGAACGUAUCUAAACUACAUCGAGGCAUUACAACGUUUAAACUCCACCAUGCCAAUUUCAGCUAGAACCUGGCUUUUUCUUCCUUUCUUUCUUUAUCCUGUAAUGCGACCGAACGCAGUGUCAUCAAACCUGUGCAUAUAGUUGACUCCGGCCGCGAUAUCUCGUUGUAUUAAUGCCAACGGCAAGCGCAGCACCGUCAUGAGAGAGAGCAUGAUAAUCGGGUAGGUAGUAUACCUGGAAUUAGCAUGCCUCCGAAUCAUCGAUUUUCUACUUAUCGGCUAUCUCCGGCCUUCCCUCCCCUUCGUCUCUUCAUCCAUGUUUCGCUCGACGCGACCUCUUACCGGUCAUUAUACAACGUUCUGCUAGCUUGUGCUCGCGAACCCUCUAACAGAGAGCUGCACUUAGCUGUUCGCCGCGCAUACUUUGCCUGGAUGGUGCUUGGUGCCGAUGAUGAAGAGGAGGACGUUCCUGGCUGCUAGUCGAGCUCUCAUCCGAGGCUUCUAUAUCGAUACUUUCGAUCGUGUUCGCAUCGAAGAUCGCGUGUCCACGCGCAACGGUUCCGCGAACGGCCAAGCUACAAUGGGCCGCAAGUGGCAGUCGUGGGUGAUCGCCGAUAUAACACGUGUGAGAACUCUACGCCGCGCUUCAGAUUUGUAACAGCGAUCACCGCCAAUCGUACACGACGUACCGUGUAUUCCCAUUCCAUCGAACGUUCCUCCGCGGAAACGAACGCUUGUUAACACCGACCGUUUGUAAUCAAUCACCAUACCGCUCGAAGUUGGUCGCUUACCAACGAUCUUCUUAUUUUUGUACCGACGCGACAUGAAUCCGCGAAAUUGGAAAAUUGACAUAUAACAAGUACGAGAAUCGGUGGGAUAGGAGAACCGUUAUAGCAAGGCAGUGGAUUUACUUUGAAGUAGGAAUGUUUUAGAAACGAAGAUAUCGAUAUAAAUAUUAGAUAGAGAACUGUGUUAAAAAAUCUUAUCCGUCCCCCACAUGUUUAAUUUUUAUUCGCUCGUUUCGACGAAAAGCGCAGAAUACGUACAUUUGCUGGUUCAUCUAUCCAAUUGGGAAAAUCUAUCGCUUCGUGAAGCAGUGUAUGGUUAACAAUAGACUGUGUGCGAGAGGAAACAAGAUUGUUAAAUAAAUAUCGUAACGGCUGUGAAAUGCUGUAAAUAUGAAUUCUUAUUAAAUCCGUGAUUACAAUACGACGCAAGAAGUUGAAGAGCACGAGUCACGACUUAAGUUUGAUUAUCAGUGAAAGAAGAAAAGAAAGUUUAUUACGUAAGAUAACAACCGCGAGAGAAUUGUAGGAAUCUGAAAUCCUAGAAACUUUCGCUAAGAAUAUAACGGCCAUAAUUAAGAAGAUGGUUCUCGCGCAUUGAGAACUUUGCUAAUAACUCUGGAUGAAACGCCAUCUCUCGAAGAUUCUCGUGGUGUGGUUCGCGUUCCUGAAGUUUGUUAACUCUCGUAAGCUUCCCGUUUGAAGAGGAAGGGUACUAGGGUGGUAUACGGCGAACGAAAUGAAGGGAGUUUCCCUGCGUGGAGUGAGUUUUUGGUGAUUAGAUUAGACUCCGCUCGCCGAUGGGCCAGCUGUCCACCGGAAUUCGCUCAAGAAUCUGCCUAAGUGGAUGAAACCAACAAGGAAGGUCGUCCGGUCGAUUCGACUCGUUGUAAUGAACGAACCGUACGAGUUCCAAGAACUUCUUUAUUGCCAAAGUUUCGUCCUACACUCUGCCCUGUAAUGAUCGGGCGUUUAGCGAUAAAGGAUUAAAAAUUUAUCAACGACGACUAGCCGAGCAUAUAUGCCAUUUCUUUCGAAUGGAAUUCUUGAAGAGAAAAAGGAGUAUAAUUUGAUUUCCUCGGCAGAGCAUCGCGACAGCGAUAGGAAUAUUAAAUGUACAGAAUUCGAGACGUCAGAUACGUAUAAAUAAUACGUAUGAUCGUAACUUACAAUUUCUUUUGUUUUUGAAGAUUUUGAAGCCAGUUUAAGCAAUCAAUUUGACAGAGUGAUACAACAAAAUUUGAUCUUCUUAUUUCUGCGGCUAUUUAGAAGAAUAUUUGUCAAUUACAUAAACCGACAAGUGUAAUAUUCAGUACCUAUAUAUAAAUUUGACGUGUUCUUAGAAGCGAGAGCCGUUUCUUCCGGAGUUAUCCUACAAAGCAUCGUUUUCCAGAGAACAUUUCAAUUGGACCUAAAAUUACGAGCACGAGCAGGAUCGAGACGUUCUGGCGAUCGCUGAUGCUGAACAAAUCAAGGAAAGAAAUCGUGUAAAAUUUUGUAAUCACCCGAGUGGCCGGGGAUCGGGCCGAGUACGAAUCAAAGAACGACGAACGCACAUUCCGAAACGAGAUCGAGAGUUAAAUUUACCGAAGUUAUUUCCAUUGGUCGGUCGAGCACACCACGAAUCGUCGCAAUAUCGGCCGAGGGGCAGCGGGAGGAAAGAGAGGAGAGGUGAAAGGGGAGGGGCAGGGUAGGGCACGGCGAUCGAUAACAAUAAUAAUGGGAAAUGAUCGCGACCGCAGUGGCACGUGAUCCAAUGACUAUGCCCAGGAGGCGAUGCCUCAUUAUUUCGAUUUCCAAGCAACUAACCAGCGACCUUAGCAGCCUCACGAAAUACGAACGCCUCCUCCGCCCCCCAAUUCCCCUUUUCCUUCGUCUCGUCAUCAUCUUCAUUCUUCGUGCGAACCCAAUCAUUCUUGCCGCUCGAGCUGUACCAAGCCUGAUGCAUUCGACCUCGAAUAUCUUACGGUUCAAUAAUCGAAUGUUAUAAUUGCAGGCCCGAGAACGAUUCCUUUAUUGAUUUUACGAGCGAGUCGAUCGUCUCGGCACCGUCUUAAGACAAGCUGCUUAAUAACACUUCGAAUAAUGAGCGUAUCAAUUCCAGAGCACGAGAUAUCAUGACGAUACUGUUACAAAAUUAAUAAGAACACGAUAUAGCGACGUAGGUAAAUGCCGACGUAAAGGGAUAAUUUUGCAGACAGCUGUUUCCGUGAAACGAGUAUCUUUCGUUACGAGUGUUCGGUGAUCAUUUCGAAUGUUAUGCACGAAAUGUUAAAUAUCCCCAUGAAACGUUUGAAGAAGUAACAUUCAGCCCACCUCCGGCCUUUUUUUCCGACGUCGAGAUCAAGAUUGCGGCGAAGAUUUAACGAUACGAAACAUAAUUACACCGAAGCUGCAGGCCGGCACGGUUAGGCGCAAUUAUAACAACGCGCACAUCCCAAGAGUACCGUCCUUCCACGAAGACACCGGAAUAUUGACCCCGGCCUCGGAGUCUGCACCUGCAGGGGCUAUAUGCAAUCUUUGCGCGCAUAACGACCCUACCGAGAGGAAUACAUUCUUCGGGAGUAUUGCAUUUCUAUGUUGGAUAUAUUAGAAUAGAAAGAUAGGAGCUCUCGAUAUCUCGUCAUUGCGAGCGCGGAAAUAAGACAUCGGAGCGAGGAAGAAUCCGUAGGGGCAGAUAAAAGCGCGGAGAUCAGGAAAUGGAAUACCAGCCGCUGCCGCCAGCUGGGAAGUUACCGCGAACAUACUGUAGAAAAAUUCUCGAAGGUGUAUAACCGCGCGCGCUUUCUUUGUUCCGAUAUAGAUAGAGAGCACGAGGUUCGAAGGUUACGUGGUAAUUAUUCGGGAUAACGACCGAGCAGUUCGUUUCUUGAAAACGCUCUUUCCCACCGUUGGCCGAACGUUGCUCGAAGCUCGCGGUAUUCGCUCAACCAGAGAGAACGAACCGAGCAAGCGUUCGAAGAAUCGAAAAGAAAGGAGAGAAGGAAGGGAGUGAGUACGUAGGAAAAUCAUCUUUCGCGUACAAUUUUCGCCGAAUAAAAUCUGUCUAACAGCCGACCGCUCGAAUACGAAUAAAAACUAUAUAAACGAAAGACCCUUCUUAGCCGAUAAUUUCUCGUGAUCCACCGUC